rnacentral:lncRNA from 1 species
CGCAUCCCAUCACAUGCAGACAGGUUCAGCUCCAUGCGCCCUGUGUACGCACCAUUCGUGCAGCUAGCUUGUGCGCAGUAUCUUGCGCACAAGCUAGGCCUGCAUGCAGUAGGCUAGGUUGGUGCAUCAGCAGGCUAGGCCUGUAGCAUGCGAUAGACUGGGGCAGCAUGCUACUGCUUCAGUUAGUGUGCGUCUCACCCUUGAGUGCCAUGUGCUGCCUUGGGUAGUGUGCGCCACUAGUUGGGUAGUAACUGCCAACUUGAGCGUUGUGUUAUUGUCAUUUGGGCGACGUGUCACCAUUGUUGGGUGGCGUGUCUCUAUUUUUUGUGCCCCCAUCAU